UACGUAGGGUGCAAGCGUUAAUCGGAAUUACUGGGCGUAAAGCGUGCGCAGGCGGUUUGUAAGUCUGACGUGAAAUCCCCGGCUCAACCUGGGAACUGCAUUGUGACUGGAUGACUAGAGUACGGCAGAGGGAUGGAAUUCCGCGUGUAGCAGUGAAUGCGUAGAUAUGCGGAGGAACACCGAUGGCGAAGGCAAUCCCUGGCCUGUACUGACGCUCAUGCACGAAGCGUGGGAG
rnacentral:rRNA from 1 species